rnacentral:rRNA from 1 species
UGGGGAAUUUUCCGCAAUGGGCGAAAGCCUGACGGAGCAAUACCGCGUGAGGGAGGAAGGCUCUUGGGUUGUAAACCUCUUUUCUCAGGGAAGAACAAAAUGACGGUACCUGAGGAA